GGAGACCCCAUUAAAAUGGAGUUAUGACCCAUUUGGGGGUCCCGACCCACAGUUUGAGAACCCCUGCCAGGUGCAAAAUUACAAAAAACAAGGAAAUGAAAAGUUAAAUCCUCUAAUCUGUUCCUCGUCCCACACUCCUACUACUGUCAAAACUAACAAUACAGACCAUGCUCUGUAACCUUAACUCUUCCCCCAGAGAUGCCAGACUUUUAUCACUACUCUUAUUGGCCCUUGUGCACCAGAAUAUUUUAUCUGCUAUCACCUGCACCAGAGAUUUCUGUGCAUGACAGCAAGUAAGCUGGAAAACCAAGGUGCAUUUUGGCUGUUCUAUCAAAAAAAUUAAUUGUAUUAUUUUAAAUACCUUUCAUUGCCUAUGUAGAAAAGGUUUUAGGAGCAUUUCCCUUCACCUGCUCCCUCUGUAGCUCUUUUCCAUGUAAUGUGAAUGUAGCAUUAAUAUUUAAAAUAAUAUUUCAAACAUUGAUUAGUUCAGUAGAGGACAUCAAAGAGCUUGGCCAGAAAAGUAAGAAUUUAUUAAAGCAAAAAUUCUGACAUUACAGAUGUAAAGGUGUUAGAAUAAUCUACAAUAUUGGAAACCAUUUAGUAUGUUUCCACAAGCUUGGGAAAGCUCAGAGCUGACAUUUCUAUGAUGGCAUUUUUGAAUUCUAAAGCAAAGGAAAUGGAGAUAUUUCACAGAAGAGAUGUUCUCCAAAUAUCACCUAAAGAAAAGUGGCCUCCGUCACGCUGCUGAUGUAUGGGUAUGUUGCAUGAACUACUUAUUUUGAAAAUUGCUGGAUGUGAGAUGCUGUCAUAGGUUAAAUGUUAAGUGAAAUUAUAUAGUGAGGUACGUUAUGGGAUGAGGACCAAAAAGAACACAUACCACUAGGUGGAUGGAGACACAGAGUAUGUUUACACUGCAUCUGGGAGUUAGCUUCCCUGCCUAGGUCCACAGUCUUAUGCUGGUGGGGCUUGCACUAGUAAGCUAAAAAAAAAGCUGUGUAGACAUUGCGAUUUAGGCUGGAGCUCAAGAUGUCAAAUCCAUCCCCACCCAAGCUUGAGAGCUCAAGUUCCAGCCUGAGUCGCAAUGUCUACACAGCUAUUUGUAGUGUGCUAACCGGGUAGCAUGUAGACAUACCCACAGAGACUUGGACUUCUGGACAGAAGCUCCACUCAUACUCCUCACUUGGAAAUUUGGGAGGUUGAAUUUGAAGGAGAAGAAGCUCUGCUGGGCUCUUAUAAUCUUAAACUGUCUCUGCUAGAGUAAGAAGUAGGACGGUCACUAGAUGUUUCUGUUUUGCUUGUGUUAUGUUUACUCGGUUAGAUAAAAGUUUAGUGUUUGGUCAAACCCAGGAGUCAGAGGCAUAGUCAGUCGGUGGGUUUUAAAGAGAUCCAAAGGGCCUUCAAAAUACAGUAACGAAAAGCAGCCAAGAGCACCUGACAUUUACAGGCAGGUGUCCUGAGAAGAAAGUUAGAGAGGUAAAAAGGCUCCACUUGUCAGUUGUAGCCACUGACACUGGUGUUGAAUAAGGUGUGGUGCCCCGUAAGGGGGAAGUUGUGACAACAGGUAUCACAGCAGGGCAAAGGAUAAUAGUUGAUUAAACUCGUCAUAACAAAUAUUUGUACAUUAGUUAAAAAAAACUGAACAAAUCUUAGCCAUCUUUCCUGUUCUUAAAUUGUCUAAAGAAGAGAGUUUCUUUAGAUCUUCUUUAUUCAUAAUUUUUUAUCUAAUAAUGUCUGAGAAAAUAUUGCAGCUGGAUUUGCAACAAAUGAAUGAAUUGGAUUUGAUUGCUUUUUUGGGUUUAUGUGUGUUUACUCAGAAAGACCAGGCAAAGUGGAAGUACAGGUCUAAUAUUUGGCAGGAAGCUCAGAAAGGUAGCAAUAGUGUAUUUUGUCAUUUAUGUAUGUUGAACCCCCCUGUUGCUUAUUUAAGAACAAUUUGAAAAAGGAAAGGGUGGGAGGCUGUGACAUAUGUGAAUAAUUGUUCAGAAAUAAAUCUUUAGGUCAGGCAGUAGCACAUCCUAAACGUUUCAUAACGGUUUAAUGCUUGCAUAAAUGUGUCACAUGGGGUGACAUGACUUAUUUUAUUAUUUAUACCAGGUCAGCCCCAGUUGCUUAUUCAUGAACCACUCCCAAAAUGUAAGUGGGGAGGAGAUGGAAGAAACUAAGCUUUGGAUCGGGGAAUGGCAUAACCAGGUCUCUUCACCACAGUCUAAAUUUGGCAGGGAUGUGUCACUUGGGGUGACUGAAAAGUUUCUUGUCAUUUAUGUGGGUUGAAACCACAGUUCCUUAUUGAAGAUCACUUGCAAAAUGUGGGGAGAGUGGUGAAGCACAUUGAGGUUGUGUGACACAUUUUGCAUAGAAAUAAAUCUACAGGUCAGGGUGUGACAUGCUCUCUGGAGUCUUCAGAAUGGUCCAAUAGUUGCACAGAUGUUUCAUUUUAGGUGUGAUCCAAAAGGUACUUUUGUCAUUUACAUAUCAUCAAAUAUAUUACUUUUUCAAAUUAAGAGGCAAUUCCAUCACGUGAGACUGGGGUCUUGCUUGCAUCUCAGAAAAGUGUAUCAUUAAAAGCAUGACUAUAUAGUGUUUAAAAGCUCAAUCUAGGGUUUGGUUUGAGAUUUCUAAAAAUUAAAUUUACACCAAUUAAUUAUUUUUAUUAUUAUUUGGGCCCUUGAAUAAGAAACCAACCAAUAAGGAUCCUAGCCUCAUGGGAUCCUGGACUUAUUGAAGUCAAUUGUAGGGAUUUCACUCUCUGUGUUUGCACAGUACCUAGUGCAGUUGCAUCCUAAUCAGAACUAUUAAGCAUUGCUUCAAUACAAAUCACAAAUAGAAACCAGAAUAAUGAGGUACAGGAAGGGUUAGCAAGCACAAGAGGUGAAAAUUAGAGGUAUGUCCAAAGCAAAGCCUUUAAAUCAAGAAAGUAAGAAGAGCAGAAAACUCCAUGAAGUCCAAUGGGGACUUCUCCAUGUUACAUGGGAAGUACUGGCUGCUGGGCAUGGUAUAAAACCCAAGAUAGAAUUAGCAGAUGUUAAUUGAGCCUCAGACACUUACGUACAUGCUGAAUGUUAAGCACACGUGUCUACAGAAUCAGGCUUAAGAGUUUAAUUUUCAAAGGUGCAGCUGCAGUCAUUGGGAGUGGCAGGUGUUCAAUGUCUCUGAAAAUCAACUAACUGCCUUACCUAACUUGCCACAGUGGCUCAGUGCUAGAGCUAGCGAAGAAUGUUUGACUCAUAGGUCCUAGAGUUUUGCCCAGCAGCUUACAUUUGACUAAAAUCAAUGAAGUUGUUGAGAUAGGAGAGCAAGGAGGAAUAUUAUGGGGGGAGGGGUGAUGCAGAGAGUCUUUUUGUAUGGCUUGCUUUGGAGGGGGGUAUUCAUCUUUCAAGAAAACAUUUACGUUGUUGGCUUGUUUUUGUUAUUGAUCACACCACUAAAAAGAUGCUGAACUUUCAAACGUAGCAUGUUCUCAAAGAUGGAUAAAUUGCUUGGAAAAAUAUUUUACCAGUUUACAUACAAAAGGUAUAAAGCUAAGUGCUGGUAAAAUGGUACAUCUCACUGAAGGUUUUUCCAUUAUUACUGGAGCCCUUUGUCAAUAAGCAGCUGGGUUUGCUCCAGAGAGUUAUCACGGUUAAGCUUCAGUGUAGCAAUGAGCUUGGUAUAAGAAGACUUCUGCAUCGACACAGAGCCUCUACUGAAGUAAAGAGCUUACUGUCAAAUCAUGGGGGCUCCUAUAGGGUUCAGUAUCUUCCAUGCAGAGCUCUUUGCAGGAUCACAGCCUUACUUGUGAAGAAAAAAUACAUUGUCUAUCAUCAUAUCCUAUAAGCUAAGCAAGAUUGAGUUGAGAGUUGAUUACAGUAUUGCCAAGAAAUAUUUAGUGCUGCAGGAAGAAAAUGUAAAUAGGUAUAAUUCUUCCACUGAAUCAGUACCAUACUAAUGCUUCAGUAUGGUGUUUGGGUGUUGUGCUGCUGGAGGUGCCAUCUUUCAGCUGACACCUAAACCUCAAGUUCAAGUAAUCUCUGGUCAUUAAAGGGCAAGGGUCAGUGCAAGCCUCUUCCAAGAUGUGAGAAGGGCUAGUCGUAAAAUCCUGCCACAGAGCCCAGUUCCUUUCUGUGGCCCCAUGCCUUGCUCCUCAGGUGAGUACUAGCUUUACCUCCUCCUCUCGUCCCCCCCGCCAAGGCAUUGCCUUAUGGCCAGGUCAGAUGCCAGAAGCUGGAGCCAGGCAGUGCAGGGUGGCUGCUGUGCUAGCAGUGGCUGGUGCCAUGAUGCAGGUAUCUGUAGUGCUCCCCCAUCUCCUGCUGUUGCCUCGGGCUGUGGCUGCUCCUCAGCUCCCCACUGCCCUUUGACUGUUCUCAGCUGGUAAUGGCUGCCUGGGUGUAGGGACCCAGCUCUGGGGCCGACAGAACCCUAGGGAAGGUGACACCGUGGGAGCUGGGGCCCAGGAGCCCGGGCUGGAGCAGGUGAGUCUAGGGUGCUGUGGGGAGCCCUGGACCCUCCACCUGCCCUGGAUGGCAUGCCCCAGUGGGUGGGCACAUGGGCCAAGGGCUUCUCUUGGGGCCCCCCACCCAGGCUUACUCCAGCACUGCUACUGGCAGGGGCACUGCCUUCAGAGCAGCCCAGCCAGCAGCCACUGCUCUCUCCACUCUGCCUUUACAUUUCCAAGUGUUCUACUUCCUGUGUGACUCCACCAGUGGUAGACUGGUCACUGGCACUUUUUAAUGACCAUACAGUGGUGCUGGAACAAUUUUUAUAGUGGGGGCACUGAAAGUGGAAACCAUAUGUUUGGGUUGUUAUUACUACUUCAAGCCAGGGAAUGUGGCAGCACCCCUAGUUCCAGCACCUAUGUGACCACAUCAUCUAACCUUGCCGUGUUCCUUAACCCACAGGCCAUUGGCUUUAAAACUUCAACAAAUUUUACUAUUUCACUGGGCCUUGAAGCUUAACAUACUUUCUGGAGGAGAAAAUGAAUGACUCAACAGAUUGCUUGUCAAGAUUUUCACUGUGCAAGCCCACAAACAAUAAAGAUGGUAACUCAGGUUUUCUGGGGCUGACAGCAACUGAAAAACCACGAGCAAAAUAAACAAACAAGCAGAAUCAGGAACACAGGAGACUGUGGUCCAGAUCCUCAGCUGUAGCCAAGAAGAGCAUAGGGCCAAUAGUUUGUUAAUAAAUGUAACAUAGGUGUAAUACUUGGAGGCUGAUCCUCAAAUACAUAUUAUUCCCACUGAUGUCCUAUUGACUUCCUAGGAGUUUCAUGCAG